UACGUAGGGCGCAAGCGUUGUCCGGAAUUAUUGGGCGUAAAGAGCUCGUAGGCGGUCUGUUACGUCCGCUGUGAAAUCCCAGGGCUUAACCCUGGGCUUGCAGUGGAUACGGGCAGACUAGAGGCAGGUAGGGGGAGAAUGGAAUUCCUGGUGUAGCGGUGAAAUGCGCAGAUAUCAGGAGGAACACCAAUGGCGAAGGCAGCUCGCUGGGACGGUACUGACGCUGAGGCGCGAAAGCGUGGGGAGCAAACAGG
rnacentral:rRNA from 1 species